rnacentral:lncRNA from 1 species
AAAGAACGGAAUUGUGCCAACAAUGCAAAAGAACAGGGAACAGAUUCUCUCCUAGAGCCUCCAGGAAGGAAUGCAGUCGGCUAACACCUUCCUGUUGUUCCAGGGAGACCCAUAUAGACAUAUGGCCUGCAGAAUUGUCCUAAACUGACUCUGGGGACUAAAGAAAAAAAGUAUAACUUAUCAUGGAAGUUGCUUAAGUGCAAAAUUAAUCAGGUCAGGGGAGGAUUGGAUAUGGAGAUUAAACUGUCAUGCUUGGAUCUGGAAGGGCACCAUCCAAAAGAAAACGGCCAUGUUCUCACUGAUGAGAUAUUUAGGAUACCGGAUCGCUAGCAUCCUUUCAAGUAGCCCAUUAUAUCCAUGUCUCAAAGAAACCAUACGUAGACACAGCAUCAUCUCUACCCAUAAAAGAUGGCAUUCUGCAAGACUGAGAAGAUGCCCACCUCCAUUCCCAGAGUCCAGGCCUUCAUUAACUCACACGAGAACUACAGAAGCAUCACCCCUAGUUCUCCUAUUAGUCACUCCUCCUCAACUGCCUCUAAUCCAUCCAUCCAUCUAUCCGGCAUGGGUCAUGUAAAGUUACAGCUGAGAAGGGCUGGAUACAGUGAACUGGAGGAAUAGCGGGGAGAAUUGCCAAUACUCAGGAGUCAGGCUUCACAUUGAUCAUGCAGCUAAUAAGAAAGAAGGCAAAGGUACCAAGCCCCUUGCCAUAUGAGAGCUUCCAGCAACUUUGGCAGAAGAUAGAAAGGAAAAUACUACUACUAUUUAGAAACUGCACUGAUAUUUCUUGACUUCUCCUGAAUCGACUACUGUUUUCCCCUCAGUGAUUCAAAUACAAGAGAAAUUUUUCUCAUCAUUCUGUGUCUCAAAGCUCUGAAAUAAGGCAUCUUUUCCUGUCUUUUAUUUGAUUUAAGGCCAGCUUCAAGCAUUUAUUGAACUGAUUAGCACAUUAGUUUUAUUUUUUUUUUCCAUGUCCUUUUAUGUUCUGGUGAGUUUAUUAGGUGAGGCCAGUUUCCUUCAGAGAAUUUAAUCCAAAGGCCUUUACUAGAAGGCUGGCAUGUUUCCUUUUCUCAUAAAGAUAAGGAAACAUCAACAGGCAUAACAUAGCAGAAUGUCUAGCCUAAGUUAUGGAAAAGAUUCCAUGCCAUACUCCCUGGUGAGGUUGACUUCACACUUACUGGCUUACUUCUCCUGAUACUUGGUUUACAAGUGAGACAAGUAAUCCCCUCUG